GACGAACGCUGGCGGCGUGCUUAACACAUGCAAGUCGAACGAGUGGCGGACGGGUGAGUAAUACGUGAGUAACCUGCACUCGUGUUGGGAUACGCCUUGGAAACGGGGGCUAAUACCGAAUAAAGGGGGAUGGGCUCGCGGCCUAUCAGCUUGUUGGUGGGGUGAUGGCGUACCAAGGCGGUGACGGGUAGGAGGCCGGAGAGGGUGACCGGACACAUGGGGACUGGGUCACGGACCAGAAUCCGACGGGAGUGAGCAGUGGGGGAUAUUGCACACUGGGCGAAAGCCUCAUGCAGCGAUGCCGCGUGGGGGAUGAAGGCUUUCGGGUUGUAAACCUCUGUAGCUAUCGAACGGGUAGGUGGAGAAGAAGCGCCGGCUAACUACGUGCCAGCAGCCGCGGUAAUAC
rnacentral:rRNA from 1 species